AAUUUCCCCCUAAAAUACCAACAAGACUCCUGCUUGAAACUACUUGUACAUUAGGGACAGAGAAGAGUUCAUGAGAAUCAGCAUUUUCUGAGGACUCCAGCUGUCUUCCGAGAGAGAGUUCUCCUGCUGGUGCCUCCUCUGUAGUAAAGCAAAGUCUCCUGGAACCACAUUAUCAUUCUCUUCACUCAAGAGAUGAGGAUGCUGAAAUUCAGAGAGG
rnacentral:lncRNA from 1 species